rnacentral:rRNA from 1 species
GACGAACGCUGGCGGCGUGCUUAACACAUGCAAGUCGAACGGAAAGGCCCUGCUUUUGUGGGGUGCUCGAGUGGCGAACGGGUGAGUAACACGUGAGUAACCUGCCCUUGACUUUGGGAUAACUUCAGGAAACUGGGGCUAAUACCGGAUAGGAGCUCCUGCUGCAUGGUGGGGGUUGGAAAGUUUCGGCGGUUGGGGAUGGACUCGCGGCUUAUCAGCUUGUUGGUGGGGUAGUGGCUUACCAAGGCUUUGACGGGUAGCCGGCCUGAGAGGGUGACCGGCCACAUUGGGACUGAGAUACGGCCCAGACUCCUACGGGAGGCAGCAGUGGGGAAUAUUGCACAAUGGGCGGAAGCCUGAUGCAGCAACGCCGCGUGCGGGAUGACGGCCCUCGGGUUGUAAACCGCUUUCGCCUGUGACGAAGCGUGAGUGACGGUAAUGGGUAAAGAAGCACCGGCUAACUACGUGCCAGCAGCCGCGGUGAUACGUAGGGUGCGAGCGUUGUCCGGAUUUAUUGGGCGUAAAGGGCUCGUAGGUGGUUGAUCGCGUCGGAAGUGUAAUCUUGGGGCUUAACCCUGAGCGUGCUUUCGAUACGGGUUGACUUGAGGAAGGUAGGGGAGAAUGGAAUUCCUGGUGGAGCGGUGGAAUGCGCAGAUAUCAGGAGGAACACCAGUGGCGAAGGCGGUUCUCUGGGCCUUUCCUGACGCUGAGGAGCGAAAGCGUGGGGAGCGAACAGGCUUAGAUACCCUGGUAGUCCACGCUGUAAACGGUGGGUACUAGGUGUGGGGUCCAUUCCACGGGUUCCGUGCCGUAGCUAACGCUUUAAGUACCCCGCCUGGGGAGUACGGCCGCAAGGCUAAAACUCAAAGGAAUUGACGGGGCCCCGCACAAGCGGCGGAGCAUGCGGAUUAAUUCGAUGCAACGCGUAGAACCUUACCUGGGUUUGACAUGGAUCGGGAGUGCUCAGAGAUGGGUGUGCCUCUUUUGGGGUCGGUUCACAGGUGGUGCAUGCCUGUCGUCAGCUCGUGUCGUGAGAUGUUGGGUUAAGUCCCGCAACGAGCGCAACCCUUGUUCACUGUUGCCAGCACGUUAUGGUGGGGACUCAGUGGAGACCGCCGGGGUCAACUCGGAGGAAGGUGGGGAUGACGUCAAGUCAUCAUGCCCCUUAUGUCCAGGGCUUCACGCAUGCUACAAUGGCUGGUACAGAGAGUGGCGAGCCUGUGAGGGUGAGCGAAUCUCGGAAAGCCGGUCUCAGCUCGGAUUGGGGUCUGCAACUCGACCUCAUGAAGUCGGAGUCGCUAGUAAUCGCAGAUCAGCAACGCUGCGGUGAAAAGGUUCCCGGGGCU